AGAGUGCAAGAAGGGAGGACUGGGUAUCUGGCAGGCAGAAGGAAGCCUGCAGCCUGGACUGAGCAGUGUGGCUAGCAGGGACCAGAGAAAAGCUCCUGGCUGGCUGCUGGGAUUUGCAGGCUGAAGUCCUGAGGGAAGGGCGAAGAGGGUGCUGGGACCACGGCAGACAGAAGCGGUCAUAUUUCACACUUCAGCAAACCUGUAAUCAUGACAGUACUUUUGCACGGCAGUCUCACGUCCAAUUUGGCAGUUGCGCCUUCCCUUUAGCAGAGCAGCUAGUCACCGGGCAGCCAUGUGCCACAGUAGACAGCCGCUUAGGUGAACGACAGCGACCCUUACAGCCCGGAGGGACAGUCUCCAGCAGUUCCUUGGCAGACAUCAGCCAGGCAUGGCUGCCUUUGCUGUCCGCGGGAGAUAAGCACAAAAGCUGUUGCCGUGGGAUCCAGUUGCUCAGGGGUGUGUCCUUUCCGGCCUGCCGGCAGUGGUUACAGCCAGACAGUGCAGCUUGCACUACUCCCACCGGCUUGUGUACGUCACCCAGGCUGCACUGACCGCACCCGCGUCCGGCUCCCCCAAAGCCACUUACCCCUCGCUCUCGGAUGCAGCCAUCAGGCAGCCAGUCUCGGGUUAAUUGCAGGAGGAAGGGUUGGGGAGUUCGCUCCUUUGGUACCAAACGGAAUUCUUGCGGAUGAAUUGGAAACCUCCAAGCAGGACCUGUAUGAACUGGAGGCAGACGCAGGGAGAGUCAUUCACAUUCGCCGCCAUGACGGAACCCCAAAUCAACUCCUGUGUCAGCACCGGAGCCCUCUCUGGGGUGUGCCGACAACCACUCGAGCAACGCGACUUGUGGCUUUGAGCCCCGAGCCAGGGCAGGGUGGACGGCGUGGAGCUCGGCUGCCCAGCAGAAACCCCCAGGAGGUGCCAGUCUCAGGGAAAGGGAGGGACACAUGCAGCUGGCAGGCUUUGCUGGCAGAUGGAGCCAUUCCUCUUUGUACUGCAUCUGCAACCCAGAUGCAGUCCCGCAGUCCCUCCGUCUAAGAGCUUACAGACUAACGAACAAUACUGCUGCUGAGGAACCAAUACUUAACCUGACUUGCUGGGGUGUUUCUUAUAAUGCUCCUCUCGAGCUUCCUGCUACAAACCACAAGGGAGGGAAGGGGAUUCGCAGACAUGCUGAGCCCUCAGCCCUCCUUGAGUUUAAGAAAAAUCUUCUGCAAUUCAUGCAACACCUUACUCUCCACUGUAUUCCAAUGUUACACAAGAUCAGUCCCCCUUCACUCAGCUGGUACCCAUCUUCAAUAGAGGAGACGGCUAAGCUAUCUCAGGAGCAUCUAAUGUCUGGCUCUUGAGUCAGCCCAAUCCCAUGGCAGCCUGUCUCAUCCAUGCAAUAUCAAAUUCCCCUUACUGAGAGCUGAAGUGAUUCACAAGGUGAAGCUAUAAGGUAUUUGGGUCAGGAGAUGCUAAAUUCUAAUCCUGACCCGAUCUCUGAUUUGCAGCAUGAUCGUGUGCAAGCUACAAAUACCUCCAUAUGCCUUAGUUCUCCCGCCCCCACCUUUCUAUACCUUAGUUUCCCAUCUGUGUAGUGGGAAUAAUGAUUCCAACCUAUGGCACAUGGAUGCUGCAGAGAUCCAGCGGGGAUAUUCUAAAGUGCUUUUGCAAAUGCAAAUUGCAAUGCAAGUGCUAAGCGAUAACUAUAACUGCUGAGGAACCAGUGUAAAAGUUAGCCUGCUGUUUGGCAUUAUGCAGAUGGGAAAUAAUAGGUAUUUCAAUCUAAGCACUGAAACACCAGAAGUCUGUAUUAUUCCUUCUUCCCCUGAAUUGCAAACAUGGUGCAAAUCAGCUGAGUAAUGUAUUGGUGACAUUCAUAGACGGAGGAAGGGGGAAGCCACAGCUGCAGGCUGAGGCAUGAGUCUCGUCUAGUUAGAAUAUAUUUAGCAUUUGGAGAUAUACUUCUGCAUGCCUUUCAUCUGAGGCGCUCAAAGGCCUUUGCAGAUAUAGGCGAACAUGCCUCAGAGCACCUCUGCAAACCACAAGAAAACAGAGAGGAGGAGGAGGAGAGGGAUCUGCAAAGCUACAGUUCAUGCACCGUCAGGAAUCAAAGUGUAGAAAAAGAAUUUCUCUAGCUUCCAUCCUCCAGCACAAUUUGCAGCACUUGCAUAAAAUCUCUGUCUCUCACACACACACACCCUACUGCACUCACACACCCCAGUGCAUGCACACUCUCACCCCGGUGCACCAAUUACCAAGAAAUCCAGCCAACGUUUGUAUCUCCUGGCACCCAUUCAAAACUGCACUGUUGUUUCAAGAGAAGCUACUGAAGGCAGCUUUAUGGGAUUGUGAUGAAUUCUGCUUGCUUUUUCCACAGAAGCUGCCAAAUCUCUUAUUUGCAAUUCCCUCCUCCCACUACUCCCCAGCUCUAAUCAGUUAAUAGCACCAGUAAAAAACAGAUCAGUUACCUUUGCUGUUACCAGAGGAUGUUAGCAGGGAUUUUGUGAAUAGUUGAAAUAUCAAAGUAUUUCCAGCAACGAGUCUCCCUUUUAUACUCUUCUGGACUAUGUCGUCAGCCCAGCGCAUUGGCAACAAUGUCCGUGGGAUCACAGGCUGUAGCCAAUCGGAGUGGACCCUGUACCGAGAGGGUGGUUAAUAAAACAACAACAUGAAACUUCUUCACAGCAUAUUUCUAGUAUAGCUGUGAUGAUGCAAGUGGUUUCUAUUGGUCCUGCCCAAAUAUAGCACUUCCUUUCCUGGAAAUCACAUGAUCUUCUUGAAAGUAAAAGUUUCAUUUCUAUUAAGCAACAAGUUUCAGAGUAACAGCCCUGUGAGUCUGUAUUCGCAAAAAGCAACAAGGCUCUCCAGAGGUGGAAGGGCCCAGCCAAUCUGCUGGGCUAUGUUUGCAAAUGCAAAUGUUACAAUCAGCAGUCUCAGGGUGUCAGGGACUUCUCCAAAGCUGUUUCUGCAGCAACAGCAGCUCCUCCCAACUUCAUUACUGGGCACUGAAAUUUUCUUUCUUUCUUCAUAUAAGAUUAAAUAAAACUGAAAAUGGGAAGCUUUAUAUAUAUCAUUUAUACAACGUGUCCAUGUGUCUUGUUCUGCAAUCCCAGAACAGAAACUUUAAUCAGAAAUCCUGGAAAACAUGUGAAGGAAUGGAGAUUUUGAAGUAAUUGGUUCUUGCUUUAUUUACCCUGUUCUGCUGUAAUAAUUGCAGAAGUCUGUCCACAGCAUUCAAAGCGGGAAUCUAAACCUAGCCAUUGGCUAAUAACACAAUACAUUUUAUGUAAAAGCCUCAACUUCACACAGCAAUUAUUAAACCUGUCUACCAGGUAAAUGAUAGCCUCUGACUCCUCAUAGUCAUUUGUGCCCUGCUGCAAAAUGAGAUCUGUUUUCAAGAAACUAUUAAGUCAAUACUUAAUUACUAGUUCAUUCUUUUUAUAUACCUUUUGUAUAUAAAUUAAAUUUGGGGUAAAUACAGUAUCUGAAUAUGGAGUAAUAGAUAAGCAUUUUCCUGCAAUGCAAUUUAUUUGCCUUAAAUUACUACUGUAUAUAAUUUUAUGUUCACAUGUUGGAAAUCACCUUGGUCUAUUUCCAUGAGCAAGCACUUGCCUUGUUUAGCAUUUUUCCAGUCCAAAUAAAAUCUGUUAUGAGUUUUGC